CUCGUCUUCAGUUUUAGGAUGACAAAAGGCACCAGCGUGUACCAUGCAAUGAUUUCACCCUCUAACACAAGUGGAAGGGGUUGAGCGCAGACAGGAAGCAGCUGCUCUGCUGUUCACUGGCACCCUGACCCUGUUCGGACCCACAACGGUCAGCAGCCUGUCCUCUUGGCCUGCCCUGCAGCCUGCAGCUAGGUAUUGCUCCCCUACAUGCCACCCACCCACCCAGCCUUCCCCGUGCAGGAGGCUGGAGGACGGUGAGAAGGUCUCCAAAAUUCUGGCACCACUCAGUCCUCGCCUUGUUGCUUCUGGGGACAGAAGUCAUCAUGCGCUGCGCAGCACGGGGACCAAGAUGCUGGAGAGCAGAGCCUGGUGCCCCCUGGCAUUGGGAGCCCAAUUGGGGCCGGCUUCCCAAGCGACAGCGUCGGGGAUGACAAUCACAAUGGUCACCACAAAUCGAGCCCUUCCACGCUCUGGGCAGGGAGCUGAGCUGUUUCUGUGGUUCUGUCACAGGGCAAAGCCCUACGAGAUGGGUUCCAUCACUACGUCCAGUUCGCAGAUGAGGUCCUGAGAGGUUAAGUGACCUUCCGACCUCUGCAGGGUGGCUUUCAAGACUGUUCUAAGCCCGUGUCUCUCCGGGUGUGGACGGAGGAGCAGCACCAGGGAUGUCUGUGAUGGUUUUACAAAUACGGUCACGAAAGUGUCUCCCCAUCCAGAGGUGGAAUUCCCCUCACGUCCGUGUGGCCUUCUGACAAAUAGAAUAUGGCAGACGUGAUGGCACGUCACUUCCGGGGUUAUGUGUAAAAAGGCCGUGGCUUCCACCUCAGGGGAAGCAAUAUCACACCUAAGCAGCCCUCUGGAGAGGCCCGCGGGGUGAGGGCCUCCCGCCAACUGUCACCAACCAGAGUGAGCCCGGAAGCGGAGGCGCCGGGCCCUUCAGGGUCGGCAGCCCAUGUGACAGCUUGCUUGUCACCUCAUGAGAGAGCCCAUCCCAGAGUCCUCCGGCCAGGCUGCUCCCAGAUUCCUGCCCCUCCGAAACUGUGUGAGCCAAGAAGUUAUUGUUGUUCCACACGGCUACGUUUGGGGGCAAUUUGUUAUUACCUCAGUAGAUAACUGGGAGCUUUUGAGAAAGUCAGGCCUCAAGCCCCACCCCAGGUGUACUGAGUCAGAAGGUGGGUGUUAGCAAGUCCCCCGGGUGUUUCACGCGCAUGUUAAGUUUGAGAAACACUGUUCUAAGCCACUCCGUUCCUAGUCAAUAAUACAGACAUAAGUACGUACGGACGUGUCCCAAGGAAAGCUUUUGAAGUGAGCUCACCUUGGGUCAUUCCUUUCCCCCUCGCCGUCUUUUCCCCUUGGCUAAGGAAACCAGACCCUCUGUCCACCCCCACCCCCACCCACCACAGCACCCUGGCGGCCAUGUUGUUAGGUUGGCCGAGCAUCCUUGCCCUCUUCCUC
rnacentral:lncRNA from 1 species